rnacentral:tRNA from 1 species
UGGGGAAUAGCUCAGUGGUAGAGCACAUGCCUAGCAUGCACGAGGUCCUGGGUUCAAUCCCCAGUGCCUCCA